UUUGGCCUAUGUGCUAUAGUUUGCCGCCCCCAAUCUAAAGCCUAUAGCUAUAAGGUCCUUUAUCAAACUUCAGACAGAUCUGAAAGUGUGCCACAUAGACCAUCUCUACUAGACAGACAGGUUUCUAAGACUCUUGAAACCAUUGUUCCACAGCAUACUGAGUUUCAGGUAAGCCAUAGAGAGGUCUAUCACAAGGAAAUCACUGGGCAUGGAUUUUGUCCAGUAGAGUUAAUCUCAACAAGAUUAAAAGAAAGACUACAAUUUUUUUUGAAUAUUGUAUUGGUGAAAGCAUGAUCAGCUUGGACUGAAGGGGACAGAAAAUGUUCACCAUUAAACAAAACAAAAUACCACAAAACAUUCAGAACCUCGGAACUUCUAUUGGCAGGAUAUAAUGUGCCAGCUGAUUGGGAAUCCACUCAUUUAUGGCUUCCGCCUCCUCAGUAGGUUCACAGUCCCUAGAAACUUGGGUUCUGACACUGAUGGUGGACGUCACUCUCCUCCCAUCACUGCACCUGCUCGUAGUCACAUGAUGCGGUCACGCCUACAACUGAAGACAUGGGAAUUCUAUUUGGAAAGAACUGAGAUCAUAACAACAGUGAAGAUGAACUUCUAGUCUAUGAGCAAGGGCGUUGCAAUGUUUGUAUCUCAGGAAGAAAACAUCCCAUCCAGUCCACAAAUAGCUAUCACAUUGAAACAAGCCAAAGAGUCAUCGUGAUCACAGCUAUCAAAAGAAGUAUUAAAAGGAUAGUAUGGAAUUCAACCCAGCAUGACCACAGAAGUGGGACGCUCAGUCAGCCACGCCUGUAUUGUGUUCAACCACGUGAGCUAAGAGCUCUAACUACUACGGCCAUAGUUUCAAAUCACCUGUCAUGAUGAGGUGCCAGAUUUCUUUAUUUUCUGGUUGAUUCAGAGACAGAAAAUAUUUUCAUUAAAGAUCUUGGAUAAAUAUGUCAAAUCACUAAUAAUAUUAAACACUG
rnacentral:lncRNA from 1 species